rfam:Picea glauca, whole genome shotgun sequence.
UACCUAGUUGAUCCUACCAAUAUUCAUAUGCUUGUCUCAAAGAUUAAUCCAUGCAUGUCUAAGUAUGAACUAAUUCAAACUGUAAAACUGUGGAUGGCUCAUUAAAUCAGUUAUAUUUUCUUUGAUGGUACCCUACUACUCGGAUAACCAUAGUAAUUCUAGAGCUAAUACGUGCACCAAGUCACGACUCUUUGAAAGGGAUGCAUUUAUUAGAGAAAAGGUUGGCAUGGGCUUGACCGCUUCUCCAGUGAAUCACGAUAACUUGACGGAUCCCACAGCCCUUGUGCUGGCGAUCCUUCAUUCAAAUUUCUUCCCUAUCAACUUUCGACGAUAGGAUAGAGGCCUACCAUGGUGGUGACAGGUAAUGGAGAAUUAGGGUUCGAUUCCAGAGAGGGUGCCUGAGAAACAUCUACCACAUCCAAGGAAGGCAGAAAGCGCCCAAAUUACCCAAUCCUGACAUGGGGAGGUAGUGACAAUAGAUAACAAUACUGGGCUCAUCAAGUCUAGUAAUUGGAAUGAGUACAAUCUAAAUCCGUGAAUGAGAAUCCAUUGGAGGGCAAGUCUUGUGCCAGCAGUCACAGUAAUUCCAACUCCAAUAGCGUAUAUUUAAGUUGUUGCAGAUAAAAAGCUCGUAAAUGGAUCUUGGGUUGUAAAGGUCGGUCAGACUACUCGGUGUGCACCUGCCCUUCUGUCCCUUUUUUAAGCAGCAUUCUCUUGGCCUUAAUUUGUUGGGUCGUGGUUCCAGGGUUGUUAAUUUGAAAAAAUUAGAGUGCUCAAAGAAAGAUUAUGCUCUGAACACAUUAGCAUGGAAUAACGUGAUAGGAGUCUGGUCCUAUUGUUUUGGCCUUCGGGACCAGAUUAAUGAUUAAUAUGGACUUUUGGGGGCAUUUGUAUUUCAUUGUUAGAGGUGAAAUUCUUGGAUUUAUGAAAGACGAACCACUGCGAAAGCAUUUGCCAAGGAUGUUUUCAUUAAUCAAGAACUAAAUUUGUGGGCUCGAAGAUGAUCAGAUACCAUCCUAGUCUCAACCAUAAAUGAUGUCGACCAAGGAUCGACAGAUGUUGCUCUAAGGACUCCACCAUCACCUUCUAAGAAAUCAGAGAGUUUGGGUUCCGAGGGGAGUAUGGUCGCAAGGCUGAAACUUAAAGGAAUUGAUAGAAGGGAACCACCAAGAGUGGAGCAUGUGGCUUAAUUUGACUCAAAACGGGAAAAAUUACCAAGUCCAGACAUAGUAAUGAUUGACAUAUUGAGAGCUCUUUCUUGAUUCUAUGGGUGGUGGUGCAUGGUCAUUCUUAGUUGGUGGAGCGAUUUGUCUGGUUAAUUCUGAUAACGAACAAGACCUCAGCCUGCUAACCAACUAUGUGGAGGUUCCCCUUCACGACCAGCUUCUUAGAGUGCCUAUGGCCAUUUAGGCCAUGGAAGUUUGAGGCAAUAAUAGGUCUAUGAUGCCCUUAGAUGUUCUGGGUGCACGCACACUACACUGAUGCAGUCAACAUGUUUUUCUCCCUGGUUUGAGAGGAUUGGAAAAUCUUCUCAAAUUGCAUCAUGAUGGGGAUAGACCACUGCAAUUAUUGGUAUUCAACGAGGAAUUACUAGUAAGCAUGUGUCAUCAUCUCAUGUUGACUAUGUCCCUGCCCUUUGUCCACAUCGCCCGUCGCUCCUACCGAUUGAAUGAUCCAGUGAAGUGUUUAGAUCGCUUCAACGAGGGUGGUUCACCGCCGACGAUGUCAUGAGAAGUUCAUUGAACCUUAUCAUUUAGAGGAAGGAGAUUUCAUAACAAGGUUAUCGUAGGUGAACCUGCGGUAGGAUCAUUG